rnacentral:rRNA from 1 species
GCUUAACACAUGCAAGUCGAGGGGCAGCAUGGUCUUAGCUUGCUAAGGCCGAUGGCGACCGGCGCACGGGUGAGUAACACGUAUCCAACCUGCCGUCUACUCUUGGACAGCCUUCUGAAAGGAAGAUUAAUACAAGAUGGCAUCAUGAGUCCGCAUGUUCACAUGAUUAAAGGUAUUCCGGUAGACGAUGGGGAUGCGUUCCAUUAGAUAGUAGGCGGGGUAACGGCCCACCUAGUCUUCGAUGGAUAGGGGUUCUGAGAGGAAGGUCCCCCACAUUGGAACUGAGACACGGUCCAAACUCCUACGGGAGGCAGCAGUGAGGAAUAUUGGUCAAUGGGCGAGAGCCUGAACCAGCCAAGUAGCGUGAAGGAUGACUGCCCUAUGGGUUGUAAACUUCUUUUAUAAAGGAAUAAAGUCGGGUAUGGAUACCCGUUUGCAUGUACUUUAUGAAUAAGGAUCGGCUAACUCCGUGCCAGCAGCCGCGGUAAUACGGAGGAUCCGAGCGUUAUCCGGAUUUAUUGGGUUUAAAGGGAGCGUAGAUGGAUGUUUAAGUCAGUUGUGAAAGUUUGCGGCUCAACCGUAAAAUUGCAGUUGAUACUGGAUAUCUUGAGUGCAGUUGAGGCAGGCGGAAUUCGUGGUGUAGCGGUGAAAUGCUUAGAUAUCACGAAGAACUCCGAUUGCGAAGGCAGCCUGCUAAGCUGCAACUGACAUUGAGGCUCGAAAGUGUGGGUAUCAAACAGGAUUAGAUACCCUGGUAGUCCACACGGUAAACGAUGAAUACUCGCUGUUUGCGAUAUACGGCAAGCGGCCAAGCGAAAGCGUUAAGUAUUCCACCUGGGGAGUACGCCGGCAACGGUGAAACUCAAAGGAAUUGACGGGGGCCCGCACAAGCGGAGGAACAUGUGGUUUAAUUCGAUGAUACGCGAGGAACCUUACCCGGGCUUAAAUUGCAGAUGAAUUACGGUGAAAGCCGUAAGCCGCAAGGCAUCUGUGAAGGUGCUGCAUGGUUGUCGUCAGCUCGUGCCGUGAGGUGUCGGCUUAAGUGCCAUAACGAGCGCAACCCUUGUUGUCAGUUACUAACAGGUUCUGCUGAGGACUCUGACAAGACUGCCAUCGUAAGAUGUGAGGAAGGUGGGGAUGACGUCAAAUCAGCACGGCCCUUACGUCCGGGGCUACACACGUGUUACAAUGGGGGGUACAGAGGGCCGCUACCACGCGAGUGGAUGCCAAUCCCAAAAACCUCUCUCAGUUCGGACUGGAGUCUGCAACCCGACUCCACGAAGCUGGAUUCGCUAGUAAUCGCGCAUCAGCCACGGCGCGGUGAAUACGUUCCCGGGCCUUGUACACACCGCCCGUCAAGCCAUGGGAGCCGGGGGUACCUGAAGUGCGUAACCGCGAGGAGCGCCCUAGGGUAAAACUGGUGACUGG